rnacentral:rRNA from 1 species
AGCAGCCGCGGUAAUUCCAGCUCCAAUAGCGUAUAUUAAAGUUGUUGCAGUUAAAAAGCUCGUAGUUGAAUUUCGGGAUCAAUAUGUUGGUCGUGCCUUGGUACGUACUAAUUUAUUGGUUUCUUCCUUCUGACGAACCAUAAUGUCAUUAAUUUGGUGUCUUGGGGAAUCAGGACUGUUACUUUGAAAAAAUUAGAGUGUUUAAAGCAGGCUCACGCUUGAAUACAUUAGCAUGGAAUAAUGAAAUAGGACGUUUGAUUCUAUUUUGUUGGUUUCUAGGAUCGACGUAAUGAUUAAUAGGGAUAGUUGGGGGCAUUAGUAUUCAAUUGUCAGAGGUGAAAUUCUUGGAUUUAUUGAAGACUAACUACUGCGAAAGCAUUUGCCAAGGAUGUUUUCAUUAAUCAAGAACGAAAGUUAGGGGAUCGAAGACGAUCAGAUACCGUCGUAGUCUUAACCAUAAACUAUGCCGACUAGGGAUCGGAUGAUGUUAAUUUUUAAUGACUCAUUCGGCGCCUUACGG